GAUGAACGCUGGCGGCGUGCUUAACACAUGCAAGUCGAACGAAGCACUUUAUUUGAUUUCCUUCGGGACUGAUUAUUUUGUGACUGAGUGGCGGACGGGUGAGUAACGCGUGGGUAACCUGCCUUGUACAGGGGGAUAACAGUUGGAAACGGCUGCUAAUACCGCAUAAGCGCACAGCAUCGCAUGAUGCAGUGUGAAAAACUCCGGUGGUAUAAGAUGGACCCGCGUUGGAUUAGCUAGUUGGUGAGGUAACGGCCCACCAAGGCGACGAUCCAUAGCCGACCUGAGAGGGUGACCGGCCACAUUGGGACUGAGACACGGCCCAAACUCCUACGGGAGGCAGCAGUGGGGAAUAUUGCACAAUGGGCGAAAGCCUGAUGCAGCGACGCCGCGUGAGCGAAGAAGUAUUUCGGUAUGUAAAGCUCUAUCAGCAGGGAAGAUAAUGACGGUACCUGACUAAGAAGCACCGGCUAA
rnacentral:rRNA from 1 species